rnacentral:misc_RNA from 1 species
GAUGAAGAACGUAGCGAAAUGCGAUAAGUAAUGUGAAUUGCAGAAUUCAGUGAAUCAUCGAAUCUUUGAACGCACCUUGCACCCUUUGGCAUUCUGAAGGGUAUGCUCGUUUGAGUGUCAUUGUACUCUCACACUCCCGAUCUUUGCAUUGGGAGCAGUGGACUUGGGUUUGCUGCUUCACCGUCGCUUACCUCAAAUAGGUUAGUGCAACUCUUGGUUGGACAUAGUACGGCGUGAUAAGUGUUCUUCGCCGGUGCCUCGCAAAGAGGGUGGCCGAUCGGGAUGUUGUGCUCCAAACCGUCUUCGGACAAUCUCAGACGACUUGACCUCAAAUCGAGUAAGACUACCCGCUGAACUUAAGCAUAUCAAUAAGCGGAGGA